rnacentral:rRNA from 1 species
GACGAACGCUGGCGGCGUGCUUAACACAUGCAAGUCGAACGGAAAGGCCCUGCUUUUGUGGGGUGCUCGAGUGGCGAACGGGUGAGUAACACGUGAGUAACCUGCCCUUGACUUUGGGAUAACUUCAGGAAACUGGGGCUAAUACCGGAUAGGAGCUCCUGCUGCAUGGUGGGGGUUGGAAAGUUUCGGCGGUUGGGGAUGGACUCGCGGCUUAUCAGCUUGUUGGUGGGGUAGUGGCUUACCAAGGCUUUGACGGGUAGCCGGCCUGAGAGGGUGACCGGCCACAUUGGGACUGAGAUACGGACCAGACUCCUACGGGAGGCAGCAGUGGAGAAUAUGGCACAAUGGGCGGAAGCCUGAUGCAGCAACGCCGCGUGCGGGAUGACGGCCUUCGGGUUGUAAACCGCUUUCGCCUGUGACGAAGCGUGAGUGACGGUAAUGGGUAAAGAAGCACCGGCUAACUACGUG